AUGGCUGCAGGUGGAGCUUCCUUUCUUGCUGCUGUUGCUGUUUUCUCCAUGCUGAUUAUGUCGUCUCAGGGCAAUCCGAGGCCUUUAUGCAGUGACUGUGGGACGCUGUGCAGUACCAAGUGCAACGAGGAGGCUAAAACUUUCUGCAGUGGUGCCUGCUACAACCCUCGGGAAGGCUGCGAGAGGCAGUUGUUCGAUGAGUGCACUGCAGACGGUACCUGCUGCAGUAGCAACGGCACAUGCACUUGUGACUGCAAGACCGAAGCUCAAAGGCGUUGCAGCAGCCUCACCGACAACUACACAGAUUGCCAAGCUUGCACUAACAGCAUAUUUAAUCAGUGCAACACCCCCUGUAACAGCGACUGCAACAACAACUGCAAGAAGAAAGGGUGUCAUGCAUAG
rnacentral:rRNA from 1 species